rnacentral:lncRNA from 1 species
AAUUUAAAAUCGAAAAUAAAAAAUGUAUUAGACUAUUAAUUAUUCGGGGACCGGGGACCCUCGGGGAUCCCCUGUUAUUAUUCGGGGAGGAGAUGGGGAUUCUCUCAAGCAAUUUUGACGGGGACGGGGAGGGGACGGGGACAUAUGCAAAACAUCAGGGAUGGGUAUGGGGAGAUUGGUCCCCUCCCCUCCCCUCCCCAUUGCCAUCCCUAAUAGUUGUUUCUACGUGUAUCAAUUUGUUUAAUUUAUGGGAAAUUUACAACCAGGUCCUUUUCAUUUGAGAAAACGAUAAAAUAGAUCAUGAAUUUUCUAAUUCUAUCAAACAAGUCUCUUUUAAUUUUUUAUGGUGUUGUGUUCAGAGACUCUUUACACCAUGACCAUGAGAUCAUGUCUAUUUACACAUGCUUUUUUUUGGAAAACCCUGUUUAGUAACAAAAUCUGUUAACCUUAAAGGUUAGAGUAAAAUGAUACCCUAAAGUCUAAAGGUUAUUCGAAAUAUAAUUUAAAAUUUGUUAGCCACUUAGCAUUAAAAGGAUAAAGUAAAAUCACACUCUAUUAGAUUAUUUGAACUAUGAUUUCAAUAGUAAUAAAAUAUUAUAUGGAUUGAUAUAUGUUUCAUUGAGUUAUCGAAAGAAAUACAAAUCAACUAUGGAAAGUCAUGAUGUGAGUGUGAUAAUGAGUAUAUGCAAGUAUGGAUUAAGAUGGAAUCAAUAGGCUCACUUAAAGAUUAACUAUAGAAAGUGCAUCACUCCAUCUAUUUUUAAUCACCAGUUAAACUAAAAAAAGGUAAAUUGUUUAUUAGUAUCUGUGUGUUUAUCAAUAUAGUAAUUUCAUUAAAUAUGAGUUAUAAUAUGAGAAAUAGUCUCAUGUAAUUCAAAAAAAAAUUAUUUUAUUUUUCAAUGAUCAGGCAAAUUAAAAGUAUGUACUUUGAAACUUCUUCAACUACUAAUUGUGACACAUACUAAUGUGAAAGUCCUUAUGAGGUUUCUUCUUCAAUAUGUGUCUUGCGACGUUUGGAGAGUUCAAUGGAUAAGUUAAAAGAAAGGAGAAUAUAUAGUGCUGCUUCCAAAAUAAAUUAUCCUAAUUAAUGGAUAGAAGAUCUUUUUAAUGGAUAAUUAUUUAUUAAUUGCAAUUUCAUCAAUACAGUGAAUUUAAUAUUUGCAUAUCAACUUCGAAUUGAUGUGAGAUUUUAUAUGUAAUUAUCACAACGAAAGCAUAAUUUACUGUUCCAGUGAGAUUAAAAUUUUUUUAAGAU